CGACGACCUGGACGCCGUCGCCAUCCCGACGCUCCUCGACUCCCGCAUCGACGGCGAGAAGGUCGACGCUCAAGCGCCUCCUCGCCCUCAUCUCGCGGGGCUUCUACGUCGCCCACCGGGUCCGUCUAGCGUCCCACCCCUCUCGUCUCGUCUCGUCUCAUCUCACGCCGCGGAUUCCGGCGACUGAAUUGCGUGUGCCGUGUGUGCUGCGGCGCAGGCAGUCAAGAUUCAAGAACGUGUCGACAUAGUCGCUUGGGAUGAAGAAGCUCGUCUACCUCUACCUGCUCCACCAUGCCGAGAAGUAAGCUUAGUCCCCCGCUCCCUCAUAUGCAUUCCUCACUGCCUCUGUCAAGCCAAAUCCUAGGUCGAUUCGUUUGCAACUAGCUCCGAAGUGCGCGGCGUGCGCCGCGCCCGUGAGAACACUCGUUUGAAUCCUUUGUUGUUGGUUUGGUUAAAGGUAUGAAAUGAAGAGUAGAGUGAACAGUCUGUAGAACACCCGUCUGAAUCCUUUAUUGUUGGUUUGGUGGUAUAAAACAAAGAGGGGAGUGAACAGUCGGUAGUUCUUGUUCGGGAAUUGACGGCAUGUGUGGUAAAGAAUUGGAAAAAGAUGAAGAUGAUAGAAAAGUAGGUACUAAUAUUGGGAAUCUGUAGCUAGUUUAUAGUGUUAUAUUUUGACACCGAAAGUUUUUUUCAUAACCUACCAUGAGUACAGGUUGUUAAAUUGAAUCUAGUUUGUUUUGUAUUGAAAUCGAUUAUUGAUUGCAAUUUAGGUGCCGUGAAAUUUUGGCAUACAUUAAUUAUAGUUUAUGAUGAGAAGAAAACGAUUUUUGAUGGAAAAAAAUCUGCUAAGUAUUUGUUAUUUUAUAUAGAGUAGGCAAGUGAGGUAAAUGGAAAAAAGUUGAUGAAUAUAGUAGAGGAAACUCACAGCAUAGUGAUACCAUUAUUACUGACGAAAGAACUAUGACUCACAAAUAUACAGAGAGUCGAAGGCGUUAGCUUAGAGGUACGCAGUACAUACGUGCAUGCACAGAGUUGCCAUUAUUUUUUUUCAUCUGAAUAAACAAUAGUUCAAAAGGUAGAAACCUAGAAACUCCAUGAAGUUGAUGAUGGCACGUCUGGCUUCCUGUGGAGAAGAUGAUGAUGUAUCUAGCUAUUCAAAAUGCUCAGUUUGAGUUGCGUCUUGCUUCUUAUCAAGAUUUUCACGACCCUUCGGAGAAAAUAGCUGUUUUGUUGUGCAACUGUAUCAUGGAAAGAAAAGGUCCAAGAUUAGUGUGUGGGUUUUUCAUCUUAUAAUCUCUGAAAAAGAUACUUAUAUUCACCUUUUAUUGCCAGUCGGUGAACUUUCACUGUUUCUCCCUUUUUCUCCUUGUGGAAUUUCUUCAGAACAGGAGGUCUGAUGACAUUCAAUUAAGGAAGCAAGAUCAGUUUUGCAUUCUCUGAAAACUGCACUGUAAGACUUACAUUAACCUCUGCGGUGGUAAGCACACACAAGCGGAUCAACAAUACAGCUACCAAGUAGCAAAUCUGGAGAAGUUUUAGUGCUUCUGGUCUGUAGACCAUAUUUCAAGUAACGGUGACAUUAUAUGUCUGCAGCAAAACUUAACAUCCUAGUAGAAUUCAAUGUCCGAAGUAUCCCAAUAUAUUGAUAUCCAUACCAUUCCAAAAUAUGCAGAGCACACAUAGUUCCAUUCCUAAUCAACAUAUGAACAUUUAUUUUAGAACAUUCUUCCAAUCCAACAUCUGGAGUUAUCUUUUUCAUCCCUUCAAAGUCUUGAGCAUUUAGAUCUGGAUUCUGUGGAUAUGCUGAAUAUUCGAUAACUUGUGCUUUCAAUCUGCUGCUUUGUCCAG
rnacentral:lncRNA from 1 species